AUUGGUUUGAACGAGAUCUAGUAAGUAGUUUUUUUUUUAUACUUACAGGGGGGGGGAGACACACAUUUUACCACUUUGGAAGUGUCUCUCGCGCAAACUAUUCAGUUUAGAAAAAAAUGAUAUUAGAAACCUUAAUAUCAUUUUUGAAGACCUAUCCAUAGAUACCCCACACGUAUGGGUUUGAUAAAAUAAAUUUUGAGUUUCAGCGAUUUAUGACGUAUAAAAAAAAUACUACUUACUAGAUCUCGUUCAAACCAAUUUUCGGUGGAAGUUUACAUGGUAAUGUACAUCAUAUAUUUUUUUAGUUUUAUCAUUCUCUUAUUUUAGAAGUUACAGGGGGGGGGACACAUUUUACCACUUUGGAAGUGUCUCUCGCGCAAACUAUUCAGUUUAGAAAAAAAAUGAUAUUAGAAACCUCAAUAUCAUUUUUGAAGACCUAUCCAUAGAUACCCCACACGUAUGGGUUUGAUGAAAAAAAAAAUUUUGAGUUUCAGUUCGAAGUAUGGGGAACCCCAAAAAUUUAUUGUUUUUUUUUUCUAUUUUUGUGUGAAAAUCUUAAUGCGGU